AGCAGCCGCGGUAAUUCCAGCUCCAAUAGCGUAUAUUAAAGUUGUUGCAGUUAAAAAGCUCGUAGUUGAAUUUCGGGAUCAAUAUGUUGGUCGUGCCUUGGUACGUACUGGCAUUAUUGGUUUCUACCUUCUGAAGAACCUCGAUGUCAUUAAUUUGGUGUCUUGGGGAAUCAGGACUGUUACUUUGAAAAAAUUAGAGUGUUUAAAGCAGGCUCGCGCUUGAAUACAUUAGCAUGGAAUAAUGAAAUAGGACGUUUGAUUCUAUUUUGUUGGUUUCUAGGAUUGACGUAAUGAUUAAUAGGGAUAGUUGGGGGCAUUAGUAUUCAAUUGUCAGAGGUGAAAUUCUUGGAUUUAUUGAAGACUAACUACUGCGAAAGCAUUUGCCAAGGAUGUUUUCAUUAAUCAAGAACGAAAGUUAGGGGAUCGAAGACGAUCAGAUACCGUCGUAGUCUUAACCAUAAACUAUGCC
rnacentral:rRNA from 1 species